rnacentral:rRNA from 1 species
UCGAGGAUCUUCCGCAAUGGGCGAAAGCCUGACGGAGCGACACCGCGUGCAGGAUGAAGGCCUUCGGGUUGUAAACUGCUUUAGCGCCAUAGGAACUCCGCAAGGAUUGACUAAAGCGUAAAUAAGCAACGGCUAACUCUGUGCCAGCAGCCGCGGUAAGACAGAGGUUGCAAACGUUGUUCGGAAUCACUGGGCAUAAAGCGCACGUAGGCGGCUAGCUAAGUCAGGUGUGAAAUCCCCGGCUCAACCGGGGAACUGCGCCUGAUACUGGCCGGCUUGAGGACGGUAGGGGUGAGUGGAACUCCAGGUGGAGCGGUGAAAUGCGUAGAUAUCUGGAGGAACACCGAUGGCGAAGGCAGCCCCCUGGGAUAACACUGACGCUCAUGCACGAAAGCGUGGGGAGCAAACAGGAUUAGAUACCCUCGUAGUCCCUGAGCGGGCUGGCAAGGCGCAU